AACGAACGCUGGCGGCAGGCCUAACACAUGCAAGUCGAGCGAGGUAGCAAUACCUAGCGGCGGACGGGUGAGUAACGCGUGGGAACGUGCCCCUUGGUACGGAAUAGCCCCGGGAAACUGGGAGUAAUACCGUAUGAGCUCUACGGAGGAAAGAUUUAUCGCCAAGGGAUCGGCCCGCGUUGGAUUAGGUAGUUGGUGGGGUAAUGGCCUACCAAGCCGACGAUCCAUAGCUGGUUUGAGAGGAUGAUCAGCCACACUGGGACUGAGACACGGCCCAGACUCCUACGGGAGGCAGCAGUGGGGAAUCUUAGACAAUGGGCGCAAGCCUGAUCUAGCCAGGCCGCGUGAGCGAUGAAGGCCUUAGGGUUGUAAAGCUCUUUCAGCUGGGAAGAUAAUGACUGUACCAGCAGAAGAAGCCCCGGCUAACUCCGUGCCAGCCGCCGCAGUAAUAC
rnacentral:rRNA from 1 species